UCACUGACUUUGUCAUGGCAGAACCUGCAAGUGAAUAACUUGCCACAGCAGGCAGCUCGAAGUUUACAGUUUCGUUUAUAAUGCUCACACCCAAAUUCUUGUUUCUCUGGAUUAUGAAAUGAAGGGUAACAUCCAAGUAAGUCUUCACCAUUUGAAAAUUCUCCAGUUCUUGCUUGAGGUGACUUCUGCUGAGCAGCUAUCCAGCGACUGGUCAUUAGAUGCUGAAUGAGAUAUGCUUUUCUUCUUGGAUCAAGAGAUGAAUCUUGAGAAACUUUUCUUAUCUCUGCUUCAAGCUCAUUUUGAUUCAUCCGGAAAAUAUCUUUCCAGCCAGGCUUAAAUGUAUGAUCACUGUGGUCCAGGCUUUCAUGGAGAUCAGUGCCUAGUGAUAUACAGCUCCCUGUUGUGGUCACUUGUGAAGUCGCAGCAGAAGUACCCUCCCACCAUUCAUUAAGCCACUCACUGAACAUUGUGUUUUUAGUUGCAUUUUUCCAUGUGUCCAUCAUUUUAUUCUGCUCCUCCUGAGUAAGAGCUGAUGUUACCCAUGGCAACAU
rnacentral:misc_RNA from 1 species